AGUCGAGCGAAUGGAUUAAGAGCUUGCUCUUAUGAAGUUAGCGGCGGACGGGUGAGUAACACGUGGGUAACCUGCCCAUAAGACUGGGAUAACUCCGGGAAACCGGGGCUAAUACCGGAUAACAUUUUGAACCGCAUGGUUCGAAAUUGAAAGGCGGCUUCGGCUGUCACUUAUGGAUGGACCCGCGUCGCAUUAGCUAGUUGGUGAGGUAACGGCUCACCAAGGCAACGAUGCGUAGCCGACCUGAGAGGGUGAUCGGCCACACUGGGACUGAGACACGGCCCAGACUCCUACGGGAGGCAGCAGUAGGGAAUCUUCCGCAAUGGACGAAAGUCUGACGGAGCAACGCCGCGUGAGUGAUGAAGGCUUUCGGGUCGUAAAACUCUGUUGUUAGGGAAGAACAAGUGCUAGUUGAAUAACCUGGCACCUUGACGGUACCUAACCAGAAAGCCACGGCUAACUACGUGCCAGCAGCCGCGGUAAUACAUAGGUGGCAAGCGUUAUCCGGAAUUAUUGGGCGUAAAGCGCGCCCACGUGGUUUCUUAAGUCUCAUGUGAAAGCCCACGGCUCAACCGUGGAAGGGCAUUGGAAACUGGGAGACAUGAGUGCACAAAACAACAAUGGAAUUCCAUAUGUGUACCGUUAAAUGCGUACACAUAU
rnacentral:rRNA from 1 species